GGAGCCAACACUGCCUUGUAAGCAGCAUUUGCAACUGCAGUGGCUGCCAAGAUACCAACGGGGUCACCUGGUGUCACACAAUUUGAUGCAUCCCUUGAGCCAAACUGAAGAACUAAGUUACCAGACGAAGUUCUUAUGGAUCCAUCAUAGCAUGCUGUGACAUCUCGGAGUCUUGACAUCAUGUUCUUGAAAAGACUGCCAGGCUCCACUAGCCCUUUAGAUGCACGCAUUAUCUUCUCCCUUUCACAUAUAGAAUGAAGUAGAGCCUCAUAUGGGUUUAGUCCAUGGU
rnacentral:sRNA from 1 species